ACGCUGGCGGCGUGCUUAACACAUGCAAGUCGAACGAAGCUGUUGUUUGGAGACCUUCGGGUGGAAGAAUAACAGACUGAGUGGCGGACGGGUGAGUAACGCGUGGGUAACCUACCUUGCACAGGGGGACAACAGUUGGAAACGACCGCUAAUACCGCAUAAGACCACAGUACCGCAUGGUACAGGGGUAAAAACUGAGGUGGUGCAAGAUGGACCCGCGUCUGAUUAGCUAGUUGGUGGGGUAAAGGCCUACCAAGGCGACGAUCAGUAGCCGACCUGAGAGGGUGAUCGGCCACAUUGGGACUGAGACACGGCCCAAACUCCUACGGGAGGCAGCAGUGGGGAAUAUUGGACAAUGGGGGGAACCCUGGUCCAGCGACGCCGCGUGAGUGAAGAAGUAUUUCGGUAUGUAAAGCUCUAUCAGCAGGGAAGAAAAUGACGGUACCUGACUAAGAAGCCCCGGCUAACUACGUGCCAGCAGCCGCGGUAAUACGUAGGGGGCAAGCGUUAUCCGGAUUUACUGGGUGUAAAGGGAGCGCAGACGGCUUGGCAAGUCUGAAGUGAAAGCCCGGGGCUUAACCCCGGGACUGCUUUGGAAACUGUGAAGCUAGAGUGUCGGAGAGGUAAGUGGAAUUCCCAGUGUAGCGGUGAAAUGCGUAGAUAUUGGGAGGAACACCGGUGGCGAAGGCGGCUUACUGGACGAUAACUGACGUUGAGGCUCGAAGGCGUGGGGAGCAAACAGGAUUAGAUACCCUGGUAGUCCACGCGGUAAACGAUGAAUACUAGGUGUCGGGGGACAUAGUCUUUCGGUGCCGCCGCUAACGCAUUAAGUAUUCCACCUGGGGAGUACGUUCGCAAGAAUGAAACUCAAAGGAAUUGACGGGGACCCGCACAAGCGGUGGAGC
rnacentral:rRNA from 1 species